UUCACACAUGGCUGGACCAACUGGUGCUGGAAAAGGCAUUGGAUUGUACAGCUAGAGGCCAGUAGUGAGCACGAGCUGAUUACAACAUAUGGCCAAUGAGGAAUUCUGAAGAUGAAAUGGGACAAAGCUUGUCAUCAUCUGAUGGGAGAAGAAGAUGGGAUGGUCCUAUGUACUCUGGCAUGAAAUCAAGAUGAAGGGAUGGAGAGAACAUUUAGGAGGUGGGAAUUACACACUUUCUUGUCAGGUAAGUAAACAAAACAGAGUUGAAAGAAGGCUGGCUCUGGACAUCAGAACAACCAAGCAGAUGGGACUUCCAAGAGCCAAGCUGGUGGAGUAAUAAGACUCUGCUGAUCAGGUGUCUGACCUUUCGAUUCGUUUGCUUGAGCUGUGCCCUGAUCCUUUUGGCACCACAGAUCUCAGUGGUUUCUGAACAUAGCCAGGCAUUGUUUCCAGGCAGCUUGUCUAGAAACAGAAGAUUUCAUCAUUCAGCUCUCCAAAGUCAUCAUGCCAAUAAUUCUGGAGGAGUGGCCCAUUGUUAAAUGCCCACCACCAAGACAAAUGAGAUGGGAAAGUGAUGCACCUUUCUGCAAAAGAAAACACAGUAGAAACCAGGGGCUUGUUUUUGUUGGGGGGAGGGGGAAGGAAUGUAGGCAAAUAUAG